rnacentral:rRNA from 1 species
UGGGGAAUAUUGCACAAUGGGCGCAAGCCUGAUGCAGCCAUGCCGCGUGUAUGAAGAAGGCCUUCGGGUUGUAAAGUACUUUCAGUUGGGAGGAAGGUGGUAAGGUUAAUAACCUUGGCAAUUGACGUUACCGACAGAAGAAGCACCGGCUAACUCCGUGCCAGCAGCCGCGGUAAUACGGAGGGUGCAAGCGUUAAUCGGAAUUACUGGGCGUAAAGCGCACGCAGGCGGUUGAUUGAGUCAGAUGUGAAAUCCCCGGGCUUAACCCGGGAAUUGCAUCUGAUACUGGUCAGCUAGAGUCUUGUAGAAGGGGGUAGAAUUCCAUGUGUAGCGGUGAAAUGCGUAGAGAUGUGGAGGAAUACCGGUGGCGAAGGCGGCCCCCUGGACAAAGACUGACGCUCAGGUGCGAAAGCGUGGGGAGCAAACAGG